CUGCGCUGUUCAGUUUCACUCUUCUCAUUCAAGAUGUCUCCAUGGUAACUCACUUGUGCCUCCAAACAGCCAUCAUGGGCCCUGUGGGAGACUGGAUUUCUGCUCUUGAUUCUUUACUCUCUCCUUGCAAUAGAAUGAAAUAGCCACAGCCUUUGUCAUGGGACUUUUUCAGGGUCUCCCAUUGAAGAAGACAGAAUGUAAUUUCAUGACCCAUGGAUAUUGGAUUUGACUAUGUGAUUUGCAUGACAAUGAAAUAGUAAUUGGUGUGAUCUGAGAAGAGGUUUUUUAAUGUGCUUACAUGGUUUGGCUGGGUUUCUUGAACUUGUGCCAUCAGCUUAGAGGAGCUACUGGUCCUUACAUGAGAAAUUUGAGGGGCAAACUUGGCCAGAGCCACAUCCUAAAGCAGAACCACCACAGCUGACUUAAACACCUGCAGAAGUACCUAUGGGGUAUCUCUCACCGGACACUCAACAUUGGCAUUCUGCCCCAUGAAGAUAAUGGUGGAAGGGGAGAAACACAUACACAUCGAAGAAUCCCACAACAUGUUUUAAGACUGCAGCUGUAUCAAGGUGACAAAAGGCUGGCCACUGAGGACAGGGAAGGAUGAAGAAGGGUUGACUGAGUCGCGAUCUUCAAACACAGAGAUUAACCAAUUAAAGAAAAGAAAGAACAUUCUAGGCAAAGAGAAGCAAAGUCCUGUUAGGGAGACCAAUGUAUGUGGAAUGAGAAAAUGAGGAAGAGGAGGGAAAGGCAAGGCUAGACCUCCUAAAAUCUUGUAGGCCACAUGGAAGAAUUUUGCUUUACCUCGAGUGGGAUGGGAAUCACAGAGGGAUUGCUUAGAUUUGCAUUAGGAACCACUUCUGGCUAUGAAGGGCGCAGAUGUUAUAAUCAACUGCCUCCACAUCUCUGCUUAUCUCACAUCACUCGCCCAGAAGAUUGUACACUGCUGCUGUCACGUUGCCCUCACUGGACACUCUGGGAAAUAUAAUCUUCAAGGGCAGAGGCACCUACUUUUUUGUUGUAGGUGAGUGAUUCACACAGUACUAGGCAAUUGAUUCACAAGCAUCUGAUUUAUUCUUUUCAAUAAAAAGUUAUGUAAAUGCUACCUCA